GUGGGGAAUCUUCCGCAAUGGACGAAAGUCUGACGGAGCAACGCCGCGUGAGUGAAGAAGGUUUUCGGAUCGUAAAGCUCUUUCGUUAGGGACGAACGUGCUCUUUGUGAAUAAUGAGGAGUAAUGACGGUACCUAAAUAAGAAGCCACGGCUAACUACGUGCCAGCAGCCGCGGUAAUACGUAGGUGGCAAGCGUUGUCCGGAAUUAUUGGGCGUAAAGCGCGCGCAGGCGGGAUAUCAAGUCUGUCUUAAAAGUGCGAGGCUCAACCUCGUGAGGGGACAGAAACUGGUAUUCUUGAGUGUCGGAGAGGAAAGUGGAAUUCCAAGUGUAGCGGUGAAAUGCGUAGAGAUUUGGAAGAACACCAGUGCGAAGGCGACUUUCUGGACGAUGUCUGACGCUGAGGCGCGAAAGCUAGGGGAGCGAACGGGAUUAGAUACCCUUGUAGUCC
rnacentral:rRNA from 1 species